rnacentral:rRNA from 1 species
UACAGAGGGUGCAAGCGUUGUUCGGAAUUAUUGGGCGUAAAGGGCGCGUAGGCGGUGCCACAAGUCACCUGUGAAAUCUCCGGGCUUAACUCGGAGCCUGCAGGCGAAACUGUGGUGCUGGAGUGUGGGAGAGGUGCGUGGAAUUCCCGGUGUAGAGGUGAAAUUCGUAGAUAUUGGGAAGAACACCGGUGGCGAAGGCGGCUAUCUGGACCGUAACUGACGCUGAGGCGCGAAAGCGUGGGGAGCGAACAGG